rnacentral:rRNA from 1 species
UACGGGGGGGGGCAAGCGUUGUUCGGAAUUACUGGGCGUAAAGGGCUCGUAGGCGGCCAACUAAGUCAGACGUGAAAUCCCUCGGCUUAACCGGGGAACUGCGUCCGAUACUGGUUGGCUUGAGUUUGGGAGAGGGAUGCGGAAUUCCAGGUGUAGCGGUGAAAUGCGUAGAUAUCUGGAGGAACACCGGUGGCGAAGGCGGGUCUCUGGGCCGACACUGACGCU